rnacentral:rRNA from 1 species
UACGUAGGGGGCAAGCGUUGUCCGGAUUUAUUGGGCGUAAAGCGCGCGCAGGCGGUCCUUUAAGUCUGAUGUGAAAGCCCACGGCUCAACCGUGGAGGGUCAUUGGAAACUGGGGGACUUGAGUGCAGAAGAGGAAAGCGGAAUUCCACGUGUAGCGGUGAAAUGCGUAGAGAUGUGGAGGAACACCAGUGGCGAAGGCGGCUUUCUGGUCUGUAACUGACGCUGAGGCGCGAAAGCGUGGGGAGCAAACAGG